rnacentral:rRNA from 1 species
UAGGGAAUAUUAGUAAUGGGCGAAAGCCUGAACUAGCAACACCGCGUGUGCGAAGAAGGCCUUCGGGUUGUAAAGCACUUUUUGGAAGGAUUAGGAAGGAAUGUACUUCCAGAAUAAGUCUCGGCUAACUACGUGCCAGCAGCCGCGGUAACACGUAGGAGGCGAACGUUAUCCGGAUUUACUGGGCGUAAAGCGCGUGUAGGUGGUUCUGUAAGUAGGGCGUGAAAGCUCCUGGCUCAACUGGGAGAGGCCGUUCUAAACUACAGAACUAGAGGAUGGUAGAGGGAGGUGGAAUUCCAGGUGUAGCGGUGGAAUGCGCAGAUAUCUGGAGGAACACCAGUGGCGAAGGCGGCCUCCUGGACCAUUCCUGACACUCAGACGCGAAAGCUAGGGUAGCAAACA